rnacentral:lncRNA from 1 species
AGAAAUAAAGGCUUGUUCUUGUUCACUUGGUUGGCCACCAGCCCAUCACAUUUGUGUUAUAUGAUUUUUUUUACUGCUUGCAUGUGAUAGCGAGAACAACGGGUAUGAUUCUGUUUGUUCUUCUAUAUAUUCGGUUGGACAGCCUAGAGUUUCAACGUGAAUUCUGUUCCAUUGUAUUUUGAAAUAGCCAAAGAAGGUCUCUAAUAACACUAAGUAGCAACAUCAAGUUGAUCUUCAUACCAAUAGGCUAUAUGAGUACAUGAUGUCAUUC